GGCUUCGUAGCUCAGUUGGUAGAGCAUCGUACCGGUAACGCGGAGGUCAUGCGGGGUUCAAAUCCCAUUGAAGCCU